rnacentral:lncRNA from 1 species
GAGCAUUUGCAUGUAACUCAUGCACAUUCUCCCACAUAUGCACUUUAAACCACCGCUAGAUUACUUAUAAUACCUAAUACAAUGUAAAUGCUGUGUAAAUAAGUUGUUAUAUUGUAUUGUUUAGAGAAUAACAAGAAAAAAAGGUUUGUACUUGUUCAGUGCAAACGCAACCAUUAUAAGCCUUUCAAUCUGCAGUUGGUUGAAUCAGCAGAUGCAGAACCAGUAGAUACAGAGGGUGAACUGUAUUUUCCUGAAGGAGAUUCCAUUGAUUUGCCCACUCAGGGUGCUUUUCAUAGAGCUCAAAAGCGAUCAAAUCUUUCUGUUGUCUGCAAUUCUGCUGGAUUUUGGCUACUGAGUUCCUGAGCUGGGGAGGACAAGGAGAUGGAGACAGCCCAAGGUUUUCAGCUAUUCUAUGAACUCCUUCCUAUCUCGGUUGUCAAGGAGAUCCACUGCAUCUGUAAACAGGUGGAGAUUAUAGUGUGCAAAAAAUAACCCUCUUUGCGUCUCGAGAAAGCUCUGCUGCCUGCAGAUCUAGGAGGACUUUAAACCAUGCAAUCAAUGCCUUUCUUGGGAUCUGUCAGAGCGCCUUCAGCAGAAGAGAAAUCAGGAAAAGGAUGGAAAGUUCAACUGUGCUCAGCCUUCCAGACUCUAUUCAUUGUUCUCAGAUCUGUUCCUACUUAUGGAGCUGUUGGUUUCAUGGGGGCUGCAUAGUAUUUGUCCUUGAUUUAAGUGUAUGAUUCAGGAAGAGUGAACUGCUUCCUGAGAGUGGAGAGUUAAUUUAGACUCUUUCAAAACCAAAUUGGUAUUUUUUCAUGUGGAAACAAUGAGUUCUUUCCUACUCAACUUAUGAGUAGAAAGUCAUUGAAUGACUAGAAAAUCCUUUAGCCAGUAAAUGUAUGAAGCAAUAAAGGUGUAAGGGAGGUAGAGAAGAGAGGAAAU